rnacentral:rRNA from 1 species
UACGUAGGGUGCGAGCGUUAAUCGGAAUUACUGGGCGUAAAGUGUGCGCAGGUGGCCGCGCAUGUCGAGUGUGAAAUCCCCCGGGCUUAACUUGGGAAUUGCGCUCGAAACUACGUGGCUCGAGUGUGGCAGAGGAAGGUGGAAUUCCACGUGUAGCGGUGAAAUGCGUAGAGAUGUGGAGGAACACCGAUGGCGAAGGCAGC